UACGGAGGGAGCUAGCGUUAUUCGGAAUUACUGGGCGUAAAGCGCACGUAGGCGGCUUUGUAAGUUAGAGGUGAAAGCCUGGAGCUCAACUCCAGAAUUGCCUUUAAGACUGCAUCGCUUGAAUCCAGGAGAGGUGAGUGGAAUUCCGAGUGUAGAGGUGAAAUUCGUAGAUAUUCGGAAGAACACCAGUGGCGAAGGCGGCUCACUGGACUGGUAUUGACGCUGAGACGGCGAAAGCGUGGGGAGCAAACAGG
rnacentral:rRNA from 1 species